rnacentral:rRNA from 1 species
UACGGAGGAUGCAAGCGUUAUCCGGAAUGAUUGGGCGUAAAGCGUCCGCAGGUGGCUAUGUAAGUCUGCUGUUAAAGAGUCUGGCUCAACCAGAUAAAGGCAGUGGAAACUACAUGGCUAGAGUGCGUUCGGGGCAGAGGGAAUUCCUGGUGUAGCGGUGAAAUGCGUAGAGAUCAGGAAGAACACCGGUGGCGAAAGCGCUCUGCUGGACCUUAACUGACACUGAGGGACGAAAGCUAGGGGAGCGAAUGGG